rnacentral:rRNA from 1 species
GACGAACGCUGGCGGCGUGCUUAACACAUGCAAGUCGAACGGAAAGGCCCUGCUUUUGUGGGGUGCUCGAGUGGCGAACGGGUGAGUAACACGUGAGUAACCUGCCCUUGACUUUGGGAUAACUUCAGGAAACUGGGGCUAAUACCGGAUAGGAGCUCCUGCUGCAUGGUGGGGGUUGGAAAGUUUCGGCGGUUGGGGAUGGACUCGCGGCUUAUCAGCUUGUUGGUGGGGUAAUGGCUUACCAAGGCUUUGACGGGUAGCCGGCCUGAGAGGGUGACCGGCCACAUUGGGACUGAGAUACGGCCCAGACUCCUACGGGAGGCAGCAGUGGGGAAUAUUGCACAAUGGGCGGAAGCCUGAUGCAGCAACGCCGCGUGCGGGAUGACGGCCUUCGGGUUGUAAACCGCCUUCGCCUGUGACGAAGCGUGAGUGACGGUAAUGGGUAAAGAAGCACCGGCUAACUACGUG